CCGGGCCAUCAAUGGUCUGGCAAUUGGAAUGAGAACAAUUUAAAUCCCUUAUCGAGGAUCAAUUGGAGGGCAAGUCUGGUGCCAGCAGCCGCGGUAAUUCCAGCUCCAAUAGCGUAUAUUAAAGUUGUUGCAGUUAAAAAGCUCGUAGUUGUAUUUCAGCCUCGCGUUUUUUCCCCCUUUUCGGGUCUUUUCGCUGGCUUUUUUUUUACUUUGAGAAAAUUAGAGUGUUUCAAGCAGACUUUUGUCUUGAAUACUUCAGCAUGGAAUAAUAGAGUAGGACCUUGGUUCUAUUUUGUUGGUUUCGAGCCUUGGUAAUGGUUAAUAGGAACGGUUGGGGGCAUUCGUAUUUAACUGUCAGAGGUGAAAUUCUUAGAUUUGUUAAAGACGAACCACUGCGAAAGCAUUUGCCAAGGACGUUUUCAUUAAUCAAGAAC
rnacentral:rRNA from 1 species